rnacentral:RNase_P_RNA from 1 species
CAAGUAGACCGGGUGACCGCCCGCCUCGGGCGGGAGGAAAGUCCGAGCUCCACCGGGCAGAAGGCUGGGUAACGCCCAGGCCCCGAUAAUGUAAAUUGUCGGGGACGGAAAGUGCCACAGAAACAUACCGCUCCGAUUUAUCGGAGUAAGGGUGAAAUGGCGAGGUAAGAGCUCACCAGCAACUGGGAGACCAGUUGGCUGGGCAAACCCCCUUCGGAGCAAGACCGAAUAGGAGGACAUAAGGACGCCCGGCCAGUUUUCUCGGGUUGGUCGCUUGACCCCGAUGGUAACAUCGGGGCUAGAUAGAUGGUCACCGCUCCGACUGGGUCGGAGUACAGAACUCGGCUUAUAGGUUUACUUGGCCC